rnacentral:rRNA from 1 species
AUUGAACGCUGGCGGCAGGCUUAACACAUGCAAGUCGAGCGGGGUGAUGGUGCUUGCACUAUCACUUAGCGGCGGACGGGUGAGUAAUGCUUAGGAAUCUGCCUAUUAGUGGGGGACAACAUCUCGAAAGGGAUGCUAAUACCGCAUACGUCCUACGGGAGAAAGCAGGGGAUCACUUGUGACCUUGCGCUAAUAGAUGAGCCUAAGUCGGAUUAGCUAGUUGGUGGGGUAAAGGCCUACCAAGGCGACGAUCUGUAGCGGGUCUGAGAGGAAGAUCCGGCACACUGGGACUGAGACACGGCCCAGACUCCUACGGGAGGCAGCAGUGGGGAAUAUUGGACAAUGGGGGGAACCCUGAUCCAGCCAUGCCGCGUGUGUGAAGAAGGCCUUAUGGUUGUAAAGCACUUUAAGCGAGGAGGAGGCUCUUUUGGUUAAUACCCAAGAUGAGUGGACGUUACUCGCAGAAUAAGCACCGGCUAACUCUGUGCCAGCAGCCGCGGUAA